CGACCACCUUGGGCACAUAUCGUCAGGACCUCCUGAGGCUGUGUCAUGGGUGCGUGUCCUUAACCUUGGCAAAAUAAACUUUCUAAAUUGGUUGAGACUUGUCUCAGGUAUUUUGGGCUCACACCUUGUACCACCAAAUUCUUGUGAAGAACUCUGAGGAGUCAUGGAAUUCUGCAAACCUGAACUUGCAGGUUGUUACAAAGGUAUGUUUAUAAAGUGAUGGAUACAGCAAAAGAAUUGCUAACCUGCAGCUGCCUUGUGAUCUGGAACCAUCCUACUGUUGGAUACUUUUGAUGAUGUGAUCUGGAUGCCAUUGUCUUACCUCAAAGUUUUCUCCUGACCUGAAGGAUCUCUCCCUGGCCUGACAGGUUAUAGAUGAAACAACUGGUGCACAGAGAGGUGAAGUCUCUUGCUCAAGUUCGCAUGGCUGGUAAAAUGGCAGAGCUACGAUACCAAUACCUUUUCCCCAAGGCUGAAAAGGUACAAUGUUCUUCUACCUCCUCUAGAUUGUAUCCCACUUCUACCAUAUAGUUGGCCUAGCUGUCACAGGGAAAUGGAUAAUAUUUCUGGGGUUCUCUUUGAGAUCGACCCUCAAAACAGCCCUUGAUUUUACUAAAGGAAGAGAUUGAGGAAUUUGGAUACAUACAGCACGCUUAUUUUCAUUAAAUUGUCUCUGGAUCCUGUGAAGUGAGGCUCAUCUCUCCCGCUCCGUGCAGUAGAGGAAAAACAAACAAGAACUGAAAGAAAUGGAAGGUGAAAUGUCAAGUACCUAAGGCAUUCCAGUCUAACCUUGAGCAGAGGCCAGCUACUGAACGCAGAAGCUUCAGUCUUGGAGAAUUUUGCAGAAUAGCCAAGAAGGCAAAACACACCUAAGUGGAGGAAGCAAUCUGCUUGCUUAUUCUGGUUCCUGUUAACUAGCACCAUGUUUU
rnacentral:lncRNA from 1 species